rnacentral:rRNA from 1 species
GACGAACGCUGGCGGCGUGCUUAACACAUGCAAGUCGAACGGAAAGGCCCUGCUUUUGUGGGGUGCUCGAGUGGCGAACGGGUGAGUAACACGUGAGUAACCUGCCCUUGACUUUGGGAUAACUUCAGGAAACUGGGGCUAAUACCGGAUAGGAGCUCCUGCUGCAUGGUGGGGGUUGGAAAGUUUCGGCGGUUGGGGAUGGACUCGCGGCUUAUCAGCUUGUUGGUGGGGUAGUGGCUUACCAAGGCUUUGACGGGUAGCCGGCCUGAGAGGGUGACCGGCAAAAUUGGGACUGAGAUACGGCCCAGACUCCUACGGGAGGAAGCAGUGGGGAAUAUUGAAAAAUGGGCGGAAGCCUGAUGCAGCAACGCCGCGUGCGGGAUGACGGCCUUCGGGUUGUAAACCGCUUUCGCCUGUGACGAAGCGUGAGUGACGGUAAUGGGUAAAGAAGCACCGGCUAACUACGUG